AAAGGGAUAGCUCUGUCGGUAACUUUCAAAGGCGUCAGCCUUUGGAAGACGCAGAUUCAUAAUCAUGAGGUCCCGGUUCAAUCCCGGGUCCUGCUA
rnacentral:tRNA from 1 species